UCGAGAGUCUUCCACAAUGGGCGAAAGCCUGAUGGAGCGACGCCGCGUGCAGGUAGAAGGGCUUCGGCCUGUAAACUGCUUUUCUCCGUGAGAAAUCCGGGUCACACCGGUAUGAUGUUAGCGGAGGAAUAAGGGGUUGCUAAACUCGUGCCAGCAGCAGCGGUAAUACGAGUGCCCCGAGCGUUAUCCGGAAUCACUGGGCGUAAAGGGUGUGUAGGAGGCUGCGUUAGUCUUGCUUUAAAGAUUUCGGCUUAACCGAAAGAGUGGGCAGGAUACGGCGCAACUAGAGAGUGCGAGAGGUAUAUGGAACUCAUGGUGUAGGGGUGAAAUCCGUUGAUAUCAUGGGGAACACCAAAGGCGAAGGCAAUAUACUGGCGCAUUUCUGACUCUGAAACACGAA
rnacentral:rRNA from 1 species